UACGAGGGGUGCAAGCGUUGCUCGGAAUUAUUGGGCGUUAAGGGUAGGUAGGGUGGCUCAUUUGUCUGGGGUGAAAGCCUCGAGCUUAACUCGAGAAGUGCCUCGGAAACGGUGAGACUAGAGUCUUGGAGAGGGUCGUGGAAUUCCCGGUGUAGCGGUGAAAUGCGUAGAGAUCGGGAGGAACACCAGAGGCGAAGGCGGCGAUCUGGACGAUGACUGACGCUGAGACGCGAAAGCGUGGGGAGCAAACAGG
rnacentral:rRNA from 1 species